rnacentral:rRNA from 1 species
UACGUAGGGGGCGAGCGUUGUCCGGAUUUAUUGGGCGUAAAGAGCUCGUAGGCGGCCUGUUGCGUCCGCUGUGAAAGCCCGGGGCUUAACCCCGGGUCGGCAGUGGAUACGGGCAGGCUAGAGGUAGGUAGGGGAGAAUGGAAUUCCCGGUGUAGCGGUGAAAUGCGCAGAUAUCGGGAGGAACACCGGUGGCGAAGGCGGUUCUCUGGGCCUUACCUGACGCUGAGGAGCGAAAGCGUGGGGAGCGAACAGG